CCUACGGGUGGCAGCAGUAGGGAAUAUUGCUCAAUGGGGGAAACCCUGAAGCAGCAACGCCGCGUGGAGGAUGAAGGUUUUCGGAUUGAAAACUCCUUUUGUUAGAGAAGAUAAUGACGGUAUCUACUGAAUAAUCACCGGCUAACACCGAGCGAGCAGCCGCGGUAAUACGGCGGGUGAAAGCGUUAUUCGGAAUCACUGGGCGUAAGGAGCGCGUAGGCGGGAUAGCAAGUCAGAUGUGAAAUCCAAUGGCUUAACCAUAGAACUGCAUUUGAAACUGUUAUUCUAGAGUAUGGGAGAGGUAGGUGGAAUUCUUGGUGUAGGGGUAAAAUGCGUAGAGAUCAAGAGGAAUACUCAUUGCGAAGGCGACCUGCUAGAACAUAACUGACGCUGAUGCGCGAAAGCGUGGGGAGCAAACAGGAUUAGAUACCCCAGUAGUC
rnacentral:rRNA from 1 species